rnacentral:lncRNA from 1 species
AGAGAGGCUGUGAGGGUGGCUUUGUGAGGAUGGCUUUGUGUGGCUGCACAUUGCCCUUGGCCAAGCCCCGCUGCCAGGAGAGGCAGCUCGGCUGCCAAACCUCCUGAACCCAAGUUACCUGAGCAAGCAGCCCUAUCCCCUCGCCUGCUUCUCACUGCCUCGCCUGCCUUGGGCCUGCCCGACCCAGGGGGUCACAUGCCUUGUUCCCCAUCAGUGGAGACCAGGGACAAGAAGACAGUUCUGUGGGAAGAGCCAGGAGGACCAUUUGGGAAAAUACAGGUUCCAGGUGUGUCUCCAGACCUUGAGAGUUGGUGUCUCCUGGGAAGAGGCCCUGAUGAGAUCUGGGGAGAUUCGGAUCUGAUGAGAUUCAGGAAGCCCUGGCCUCUCCGUACUUGAGGAGACGGGACACACAGGACAAGCUGCAGGCUGGUGAGCAGGUUCACCUUCUAUUUUGAAGACCCGCUUCUUCCUCAGUGAAAACCAUUUCCUCCUCGUCGUGGCGCAGGUCCAGAGGCUGCGCCCAUCUCUCCCACGUCAACAGUCCUGUGUCCUUGGCGAAGGACUGUUCUCUCAUUCAGUGCCUUUCCUCUCUUCCUGGGCCAAAUCCCUGCUUUGCGUCUCCCUGCAGCUCAUAAAAAGCUGAAUUACCUGAGGCAGGGAAAGCCCCACCCACUGUCAUUCUCAGGGAGGAGUGGAGUCUGCAGAGGCCGCAAUGCACAGCUUCCCUAUCCCCCUCCACCCGUGUUUUCCCAGAGCAGCUCUGUUCCAGGCCCGGGGGUGUCCCUGGGCCGAGAUGGAAUCCAGCCCUGACCACCUCCCAAAGCCAACAGCCCUGAGUGAGCGUGCAGAGAAGCAAGAGCUGUUCCUGAUGCAGAGCAAAGACAUCUCCCAGUCAAGGGGGAUGAACUGAUUUGGGACAAAAGGCAGUUGUUGGCUGAGGAAGGCAGGAUCUGGGGGAGCCCUGUGCUGAGUGGAGGUGGGUGGGUGUAUUUCCUUGGCUCACAGAGGCCUCUUGUCUGGUGGGAUCAGCUCCUCCAGCCAGUUGCCACCUGGUCCAGCUUUGGGAGAUGUGGAGAAUGACUUUCGCAGUGAUUUCCACUGGGCCAUGGCAUUGAAACAGCUGCAGGAGGGGACACAGCUGGUGCCACCCCUACUCCGUCCAUUAGAGCUGCUGUGAAGGAAUGCCACCCUCCCCAUGGGGAGUGAGGGGGCCCUACUUGCUGUGGUUGGUUCCAGGGACCAUGGGAAGAGGCAAACCCCUAUUUUCAAGGGCACAAGUUGGCUUUUAUUAAAAUAAAAUUUCAUC